rnacentral:rRNA from 1 species
GACGAACGCUGGCGGCGUGCUUAACACAUGCAAGUCGAACGAAGAGCGAUGGAAGCUUGCUUCUAUCAAUCUUAGUGGCGAACGGGUGAGUAACGCGUAAUCAACCUGCCCUUCAGAGGGGGACAACGGUUGGAAACGACUGCUAAUACCGCAUACGAUCUAACCUCGGCAUCAAGGAAAGAUGAAAGGUGGCCUCUACAUGUAAGCUAUCACUGAAGGAGGGGAUUGCGUCUGAUUAGCUAGUUGGAGGGGUAACGGCCCACCAAGGCGAUGAUCAGUAGCCGGUCUGAGAGGAUGAACGGCCACAUUGGGACUGAGACACGGCCCAGACUCCUACGGGAGGCAGCAGUGGGGAAUCUUCCGCAAUGGACGAAAGUCUGACGGAGCAACGCCGCGUGAGUGAUGACGGCCUUCGGGUUGUAAAGCUCUGUUAAUUGGGACGAAAGGCCUUCUUGCGAAUAGUUAGGAGGAUUGACG